AACCAAAUUGGUAAGUAUUUUGAGAAAAUGUGUUCGACUUCGAGUAAUUCUACAAGCAUUGAAAUAAUCAGCAUUCUGCGGAAUACUGUUGAUAUAGUUUGAUGGAUUUACAAUUGUUAGGAAUAAGAAAACAACUUCAAGAUAACAAGUAAAAAAAAGAAUCAACGUAAUUAUCACUAUUUUCUUCAUUCCAAAUGAGAAUUGAGACGAUUUAAAGUAUUCUACAGCAAAAGCUCAACUUUGUUCGCCGAAAUAAUAUAACAAAGCGAUUAAAAGCGCCAUUAACCGUUUACAUAUAUCGAUCGAAUAUAAGUAACGGUGAAAUGGAAAACCAACAAGCGAUCGUUGCUCCGCCAGUCCAGCAAGCAGUGGAUUAGGUUGAUUCCAAAUGAGUCCACUAUUCCAUUUCACGCUUGCGAAAAAAUUUCCUAAUUACGAUUCAAUCAAAAAUUCGCUCUUUGGCAUGUAUAUUCAACAACCUGGAUUUUCGCAUAUUCUUUCCAACUCUUCAUAGUGCCUGCAGGUCUCACAAUGUUAAGUUUUAUGUAUUUGU